GCCAAUUUGGCAUAGUGGUUUGAGCUUUGGACUAUGACUCUGGAGACCAGGGAUCACUUCCUAACUUGGCC